rnacentral:rRNA from 1 species
CUUGUGGCUGGGGGUGAAAGGCCAAUCAAACCGGGAGAUAGCUGGUUCUCCCCGAAAGCUAUUUAGGUAGCGCCUCGUGAAUUCAUCUCCGGGGGUAGAGCACUGUUUCGGCAAGGGGGUCAUCCCGACUUACCAACCCGAUGCAAACUGCGAAUACCGGAGAAUGUUAUCACGGGAGACACACGGCGGGUGCUAACGUCCGUCGUGAAGAGGGAAACAACCCAGACCGCCAGCUAAGGUCCCAAAGUCAUGGUUAAGUGGGAAACGAUGUGGGAAGGCCCAGACAGCCAGGAUGUUGGCUUAGAAGCAGCCAUCAUUUAAAGAAAGCGUAAUAGCUCACUGGUCGAGUCGGCCUGCGCGGAAGAUGUAACGGGGCUAAACCAUGCACCGAAGCUGCGGCAGCGACGCUGAUGCGUUGUUGGGUAGGGGAGCGUUCUGUAAGCCUGCGAAGGUGUGCUGUGAGGCAUGCUGGAGGUAUCAGAAGUGCGAAUGCUGACAUAAGUAACGAUAAAGCGGGUGAAAAGCCCGCUCGCCGGAAGACCAAGGGUUCCUGUCCAACGUUAAUCGGGGCAGGGUGAGUCGACCCCUAAGGCGAGGCCGAAAGGCGUAGUCGAUGGGAAACAGGUUAAUAUUCCUGUACUUGGUGUUACUGCGAAGGGGGGACGGAGAAGGCUAUGUUGGCCGGGCGACGGUUGUCCCGGUUUAAGCGUGUAGGCUGGUUUUCCAGGCAAAUCCGGAAAAUCAAGGCUGAGGCGUGAUGACGAGGCACUACGGUGCUGAAGCAACAAAUGCCCUGCUUCCAGGAAAAGCCUCUAAGCAUCAGGUAACAUCAAAUCGUACCCCAAACCGACACAGGUGGUCAGGUAGAGAAUACCAAGGCGCUUGAGAGAACUCGGGUGAAGGAACUAGGCAAAAUGGUGCCGUAACUUCGGGAGAAGGCACGCUGAUAUGUAGGUGAGGUCCCUCGCGGAUGGAGCUGAAAUCAGUCGAAGAUACCAGCUGGCUGCAACUGUUUAUUAAAAACACAGCACUGUGCAAACACGAAAGUGGACGUAUACGGUGUGACGCCUGCCCGGUGCCGGAAGGUUAAUUGAUGGGGUUAUCCGUAAGGAGAAGCUCUUGAUCGAAGCCCCGGUAAACGGCGGCCGUAACUAUAACGGUCCUAAGGUAGCGAAAUUCCUUGUCGGGUAAGUUCCGACCUGCACGAAUGGCGUAAUGAUGGCCAGGCUGUCUCCACCCGAGACUCAGUGAAAUUGAACUCGCUGUGAAGAUGCAGUGUACCCGCGGCAAGACGGAAAGACCCCGUGAACCUUUACUAUAGCUUGACACUGAACAUUGAGCCUUGAUGUGUAGGAUAGGUGGGAGGCUUUGAAGUGUGGACGCCAGUCUGCAUGGAGCCGACCUUGAAAUACCACCCUUUAAUGUUUGAUGUUCUAACGUUGACCCGUAAUCCGGGUUGCGGACAGUGUCUGGUGGGUAGUUUGACUGGGGCGGUCUCCUCCUAAAGAGUAACGGAGGAGCACGAAGGUUGGCUAAUCCUGGUCGGACAUCAGGAGGUUAGUGCAAUGGCAUAAGCCAGCUUGACUGCGAGCGUGACGGCGCGAGCAGGUGCGAAAGCAGGUCAUAGUGAUCCGGUGGUUCUGAAUGGAAGGGCCAUCGCUCAACGGAUAAAAGGUACUCCGGGGAUAACAGGCUGAUACCGCCCAAGAGUUCAUAUCGACGGCGGUGUUUGGCACCUCGAUGUCGGCUCAUCACAUCCUGGGGCUGAAGUAGGUCCCAAGGGUAUGGCUGUUCGCCAUUUAAAGUGGUACGCGAGCUGGGUUUAGAACGUCGUGAGACAGUUCGGUCCCUAUCUGCCGUGGGCGCUGGAGAACUGAGGGGGGCUGCUCCUAGUACGAGAGGACCGGAGUGGACGCAUCACUGGUGUUCGGGUUGUCAUGCCAAUGGCACUGCCCGGUAGCUAAAUGCGGAAGAGAUAAGUGCUGAAAGCAUCUAAGCACGAAACUUGCCCCGAGAUGAGUUCUCCCUGACCCUUUAAGGGUCCUGAAGGAACGUUGAAGACGACGACGUUGAUAGGCCGGGUGUGUAAGCGCAGCGAUGCGUUGAGCUAACCGGUACUAAUG